rnacentral:rRNA from 1 species
CAGCAGCCGCGGUAAUACAGAGGGUGCGAGCGUUAAUCGGAUUUACUGGGCGUAAAGCGUGCGUAGGCGGCUUCUUAAGUCGUAUGUGAAAUCCCUGAGCUUAACUUAGGAAUUGCAUUCGAUACUGGGAAGCUAGAGUAUGGGAGAGGAUGGUAGAAUUCCAGGUGUAGCGGUGAAAUGCGUAGAGAUCUGGAGGAAUACCGAUGGCGAAGGCAGCCAUCUGGCCUAAUACUGACGCUGAGGUACGAAAGCAUGGGGAGCAAACAGGAUUAGAUACCCGUGUAGUCCCUGUCUCUUAUAC